GACAUCUUUAGUCCUACAUCGAUUGUGAGUCAGAAGAAAGUAUGAUUUAUAUGGAUCAAGAUCAUCUCUCUCUUUGUGAGGUAUCUUUUAAAGGAUAAACUUGUAAGGCCCAACAUGGCAUCUGACCCCCACUUAUCAAAAGUUAAAAAAUUAAUAUUAAAUGUAUAGUCCAACUCAAAAUAAAAUAGUUUCCAAAUUUUUUUUAUAGAAGAUA
rnacentral:lncRNA from 1 species